rnacentral:lncRNA from 1 species
UCCAGUUUCAGGUCCUACUCCAGCUUCUUCACAGUCUCCACUCAGUCCAAGCAAAGUACCUCUCUUCAAUUAAAAAGUGAAACCCAGAAAGAAUAUAGAUUUCAAGUUUUUUGAAAAAGAAGGGUUCUCUAUUGGAUCAAAGAUUAAAAAUUAAGGAUGGAAGUUUUAUUGUUUAUUAAAAAAAAUACUUAUGUUAAUUUGGUCAGGAAAUUCUACUUAAAUUUGAGUUACUGCAAUGGAACAGUAAAAUCUUUGGUGAAAGGGGUUAACAUAGUUCUUGAUCCAUUGUAUUUGGGAUAAAUCUUACACUUGC